rnacentral:lncRNA from 1 species
CCCUAUUUCCUAUCACGGUAUUUAAAGCUAAAUAAAUAAUUAAACUGUACUGUGUGACUUUAUAGAUGUAUAAUUGAUUUAGGUUGCCAAUGGAGCCCGAGUCUGAUACUGUGUUGGUCUAUUAUUGUUUGAUUUAAUUUUCAGUAUUAAAUGCAGUAUGAUGUUUGAUGUAAUUAUAUUAUGGUCCCGUAUGCAUGAAUCAUGGUUUCCUU